GGGUUGUGAGGUUAAGCGACUAAGCGUACACGGUGGAUGCCCUGGCAGUCAGAGGCGAUGAAGGACGUGCUAAUCUGCGAAAAGCGUCGGUAAGGUGAUAUGAACCGUUACAGCCGGCGAUGUCCGAAUGGGGAAACCCAGUGCAAUUCGUUGCACUAUCGUUAACUGAAUACAUAGGUUAACGAGGCGAACCGGGGGAACUGAAACAUCUAAGUACCCCGAGGAAAAAAAAUCAACCGAGAUUCCCCCAGUAGCGGCGAGCGAACGGGGAGCAGCCCAGAGUCUGAAUCAGCUUGUGUGUUAGUGGAACGGUCUGGAAAGUCCGACGGUACAGGGUGAUAGUCCCGUACACCAAAAUGCACAGGCUGUGAACUCGAAGAGUAGGGCGGGACACGUGGUAUCCUGUCUGAAUAUGGGGGGACCAUCCUCCAAGGCUAAAUACUCCUGACUGACCGAUAGUGAACCAGUACCGUGAGGGAAAGGCGAAAAGAACCCCGGCGAGGGGAGUGAAAAAGAACCUGAAACCGUGUACGUACAAGCAGUGGGAGCACCUUCGGGUGUGACUGCGUACCUUUUGUAUAAUGGGUCAGCGACUUAUAUUCUGUAGCAAGGUUAACCGUAUAGGGGAGCCGCAGGGAAACCGAGUCUUAACUGGGCGUUAAGUUGCAGGGUAUAGACCCGAAACCCGGUGAUCUAGCCAUGGGCAGGUUGAAGGUUGGGUAACACUAACUGGAGGACCGAACCGACUAAUGUUGAAAAAUUAGCGGAUGACUUGUGGCUGGGGGUGAAAGGCCAAUCAAACCGGGAGAUAGCUGGUUCUCCCCGAAAGCUAUUUAGGUAGCGCCUCGUGAAUUCAUCUUCGGGGUAGAGCACUGUUUCGGCUAGGGGGUCAUCCCGACUUACCAACCCGAUGCAAACUACGAAUACCGAAGAAUGUUAUCACGGGAGACACACGGCGGGUGCUAACGUCCGUCGUGAAGAGGGAAACAACCCAGACCGCCAGCUAAGGUCCCAAAGUCAUGGUUAAGUGGGAAACGAUGUGGGAAGGCACAGACAGCCAGGAUGUUGGCUUAGAAGCAGCCAUCAUUUAAAGAAAGCGUAAUAGCUCACUGGUCGAGUCGGCCUGCGCGGAAGAUGUAACGGGGCUAAACCAUGCACCGAAGCUGCGGCAGCGACACUAUGUGUUGUUGGGUAGGGGAGCGUUCUGUAAGCCUGCGAAGGUGACCUGUGAGGGUUGCUGGAGGUAUCAGAAGUGCGAAUGCUGACAUAAGUAACGAUAAAGCGGGUGAAAAGCCCGCUCGCCGGAAGACCAAGGGUUCCUGUCCAACGUUAAUCGGGGCAGGGUGAGUCGACCCCUAAGGCGAGGCCGAAAGGCGUAGUCGAUGGGAAACAGGUUAAUAUUCCUGUACUUGGUGUUACUGCGAAGGGGGGACGGAGAAGGCUAUGUUAGCCGGGCGACGGUUGUCCCGGUUUAAGCAUGUAGGCUGGUUAUCCAGGCAAAUCCGGAUAAUCAAGGCUGAGGUGUGAUGACGAGGCACUACGGUGCUGAAGUAACAAAUGCCCUGCUUCCAGGAAAAGCCUCUAAGCAUCAGGUAACAUCAAAUCGUACCCCAAACCGACACAGGUGGUCAGGUAGAGAAUACCAAGGCGCUUGAGAGAACUCGGGUGAAGGAACUAGGCAAAAUGGUGCCGUAACUUCGGGAGAAGGCACGCUGGUGUGUAGGUGAAGUCCCUGCGGAUGGAGCUGAGACCAGUCGAAGAUACCAGCUGGCUGCAACUGUUUAUUAAAAACACAGCACUGUGCAAACACGAAAGUGGACGUAUACGGUGUGACGCCUGCCCGGUGCCGGAAGGUUAAUUGAUGGGGUUAUCCGUAAGGAGAAGCUCUUGAUCGAAGCCCCGGUAAACGGCGGCCGUAACUAUAACGGUCCUAAGGUAGCGAAAUUCCUUGUCGGGUAAGUUCCGACCUGCACGAAUGGCGUAAUGAUGGCCAGGCUGUCUCCACCCGAGACUCAGUGAAAUUGAACUCGCUGUGAAGAUGCAGUGUACCCGCGGCAAGACGGAAAGACCCCGUGAACCUUUACUAUAGCUUGACACUGAACAUUGAGCCUUGAUGUGUAGGAUAGGUGGGAGGCUUUGAAGCGUGGACGCCAGUCUGCGUGGAGCCAACCUUGAAAUACCACCCUUUAAUGUUUGAUGUUCUAACGUUGGCCCCUGACCGGGGUUGCGGACAGUGUCUGGUGGGUAGUUUGACUGGGGCGGUCUCCUCCCAAAGCGUAACGGAGGAGCACGAAGGUUAGCUAAUCCUGGUCGGACAUCAGGAGGUUAGUGCAAUGGCAUAAGCUAGCUUGACUGCGAGCGUGACGGCGCGAGCAGGUGCGAAAGCAGGUCAUAGUGAUCCGGUGGUUCUGAAUGGAAGGGCCAUCGCUCAACGGAUAAAAGGUACUCCGGGGAUAACAGGCUGAUACCGCCCAAGAGUUCAUAUCGACGGCGGUGUUUGGCACCUCGAUGUCGGCUCAUCACAUCCUGGGGCUGAAGUAGGUCCCAAGGGUAUGGCUGUUCGCCAUUUAAAGUGGUACGCGAGCUGGGUUUAGAACGUCGUGAGACAGUUCGGUCCCUAUCUGCCGUGGGCGCUGGAGAAUUGAGGGGGGCUGCUCCUAGUACGAGAGGACCGGAGUGGACGCAUCACUGGUGUUCGGGUUGUCAUGCCAAUGGCACUGCCCGGUAGCUAAAUGCGGAAGAGAUAAGUGCUGAAAGCAUCUAAGCACGAAACUUGCCCCGAGAUGAGUUCUCCCUGAGACUUUAAGUCUCCUGAAGGAACGUUAAAGACGAUGACGUUGAUAGGCCGGGUGUGUAAGCGCAGCGAUGCGUUGAGCUAACCGGUACUAAUGAACCGUGAGGCUUAACCUUACAACGCCGAAG
rnacentral:rRNA from 1 species